GAUGAAGAACGUAGCGAAAUGCGAUACUUGGUGUGAAUUGCAGAAUCCCGUGAACCAUCGAGUCUUUGAACGCAAGUUGCGCCUGAAGCCAUUAGGCCGAGGGCACGCCUGCCUGGGCGUCACACGUCGUUGCCCCCCCAUCUACUCCUUCGGGAUUGCGGGGGGCGGAUGAUGGCCUCCCGUGCGCCUCGUCGCGCGGUUGGCAUAAAUGCCAAGUCCUCGGCGACGCACGCCGCGACAAUCGGUGGUUGCGAAACCUCGGUUGCCCGUCGUGUGCGGUCGUCGCGCAUCGAGGGCUCGAAAAAAUUGCCGGGCUCCGGCUCGGCUUUCAACGCGACCCCAGGUCAGGCGGGGUUACCCGCUGAAUUUAAGCAUAUCAAUAAGCGGAGGA
rnacentral:misc_RNA from 1 species